AAGGAGCUGCUGGGGCUGUGCCCCCCUGGGCAUGAAGGGGUUAAGGGCCCUGUCCAGCUGUGCAGUGCAGAUGUGAGAUAUGCAGAUGAGGCAGAGCAGGUUUUAUAAGGCCGGUGCAGAGCCAGCACCCUGCAAAGCCCCAGUGCCACCCCCAUAGAUGCUGCUCUCGGCUGCCUGGGGCAGGAUAUCAUCGUAUACUGUAAGUCGGCUAUGAGACACUACAGUAUAGAUGAUGUACUCCCGCGGGCUGCCCCCGCCACGGCUGCCGCGAGGGACCGCGACCGGGCUCCGAGGGGACACGGCACGGGGGGAGGCUCCGGACCCAGACGGCGACCCCCGGCCGGCGGGGAAACCGUUACCAUUACUGAGUUUAGUAAUGGUAACGGUUCUGCUGACGGCUGGGCACACGGCACGGCACGGCACGGCACGGCACGGCACGGCACGGCACGGCACGGCACGGCACGGCAAGGCACGGCACGGCACGGCACGGGCCAAUAAAGGCAUUUACAGCAUUGUG